UUCAUCUUUAAUCUCGUCAUAUAUUCUGUCUUUUAGCUGAUUUGGACUUUUUGAGAAGUCUUUAAUAUUAUCUUAACUUUUACCUGAAUGUUGUACUUUUCAUUCUUAUCCUUUGCGAUGGCUAUUAUUAUGAUAUGUUCAUCAACUAACAUAAUGAUCCCUUUGACUUGUCUGUGUUUUCUUUCUAGCCCAUCCUUCCCUCUCGCUUAGCUGAGUAUCAGAGGCUCAGAUGUCGGGUAGCAUUUCAUGCACUUCGUUCCCGCUCAAGAAUUUUGGCACUAGGACACCUAAUGGUGGAAAGGUUACGAGCUUUAGGCCAACCUUACCUUGCUUUCAAUCCUGGCGUUGUGAGAGAUACCUUGGCAUAUCAUGGCUGCGCUGAACUUUUUCAGAUAAAGCUUGAUUACUAGCGGAAGCCAAUGCUGCGGAAGAAGCUCAAAGGAAAGCAGAAGUGGAAGCCAAAGCUGAAGCCAAAAGGAAGAGAGAAGCAGCACACCUGGCUCUGUAAAAGGUAAACUAGAACCAAUCAUACUGCAAAAGCAGAAGCUAGUCGCAAAAUGCGACCUUCCUUGUGGAAGCCUAAUAAAUGUAUCUGAAAUUUUAAUUUGCUCAAACUGAUGGGAUGAAGAACCCUUUGGCCAUGAUUUGCUCAAACUAAUUGCGUUUCCUCUUGGUCAUGAUUUCAUUUGGACCAUUAGAAACUGAAACAUGUAUUACUUGUACCAGUUCAUGCAUUUGGAUGUUCUGGAACUUGAACGUGAACACUUUUUUUUUAAUGCUUUGCUUGAUAUCAGUGAUUCAAGAUGAUUGGAUUGGGCUUUCAUAGAAUUGGCUAGGCUAGAUAGACUGAGUGAAUGUGUUCAGGCAACUAGAAUGGCUUUCUACUCUUCAUGCACCGUUAAGCUCACUGCCUUGUUGGCUAAACAUUUUGAUUACAUUCAUUGGUCUUUCUGCUUUUCAUGCACCGUUACACUCUGCAAGUUUUUCUAGAGAUAAGUGAAAGCCGUGGAAUAAUAGCUGGGACUAAUUUUUAAAGUUGAUGCUUUUAUUUAAAAGUAGCCUUAAAAAAAUGACCGAAAGUAAUAGCUAGGAUGCUGAAGUUGGUGUAUAAGUAUUGGAAUUAAUGUUCAAACCAUGAAAUGCUAUUAUACUAGGUUAAUGUUAUUAUAGAUCCAUCUUAGGAAUGGUGUUUGAUUACUGAAGGUUGUUUUCAUAAUGGAAGUUUAUGGUUAUUAUGCAUGUGGUGGCUUUGACAUUGUUGAAUAGUAAUUUUGGAUAGUUGAAAACUCGCUAUUAUGUUGCAUUGUGUUUUUAGGCACGGCCUAUUCCUAGUAGUGUGAUAUGUUUGAUGCAUGUGUCAUGUAUCUUAAAACUUACUGAUUAUAUAGGAUGUUGUGGACUAUAUACACACGCACAUGCAUACUUGUUUAUAAACUUGUAAUUGUUUCUUUC